AUGCAGUCGAACGAUGAACCACUUCGGUGGGGAUUAGUGGCGAACGGGUGAGUAACACGUGGGCAAUCUGCCCUGCACUCUGGGACAAGCCCUGGAAACGGGGUCUAAUACCGGAUACUGACCCUCACGGGCAUCUGUGAGGUUCGAAAGCUCCGGCGGUGCAGGAUGAGCCCGCGGCCUAUCAGCUUGUUGGUGAGGUAAUGGCUCACCAAGGCGACGACGGGUAGCCGGCCUGAGAGGGCGACCGGCCACACUGGGACUGAGACACGGCCCAGACUCCUACGGGAGGCAGCAGUGGGGAAUAUUGCACAAUGGGCGAAAGCCUGAUGCAGCGACGCCGCGUGAGGGAUGACGGCCUUCGGGUUGUAAACCUCUUUCAGCAGGGAAGAAGCGAAAGUGACGGUACCUGCAGAAGAAGCGCCGGCUAACUACGUGCCAGCAGCCGCGGUAAUACGUAGGGCGCGAGCGUUGUCCGGAAUUAUUGGGCGUAAAGAGCUCGUAGGCGGCUUGUCACGUCGGUUGUGAAAGCCCGGGGCUUAACCCCGGGUCUGCAGUCGAUACGGGCAGGCUAGAGUUCGGUAGGGGAGAUCGGAAUUCCUGGUGUAGCGGUGAAAUGCGCAGAUAUCAGGAGGAACACCGGUGGCGAAGGCGGAUCUCUGGGCCGAUACUGACGCUGAGGAGCGAAAGCGUGGGGAGCGAACAGGAUUAGAUACCCUGGUAGUCCACGCCGUAAACGGUGGGCACUAGGUGUGGGCGACAUUCCACGUCGUCCGUGCCGCAGCUAACGCAUU
rnacentral:rRNA from 1 species